UCAAGACAGCUGCGUCACACAAUAACCGAGGCAUUCUGCAACCCUAAACACCAAGUCUGGGGAUGGACGGGGGAACUGAGGCUUUCCUGCCAAUGAUGGAGGUCAGAGAGGCACCUGACAUUUCUAGGGGAUGAAGGGCCUGUGGUUUUCUUCAUCUGUCUAUGAAGGAAAGGUAGGAAAACAGAAUAAAAGGAAACUUAUAUUGAUCCAGGAUUGGGUUUUUGGUGCAAAUUGAAAACAAUGUUAUUUCAUGUGGUUUUGUCUGAAGGAGCCAACUGCUUGAAACAAGUAAAAUGUGAAAUAAGGUAUUACCGUAUGGAAUAGGAUAUGCUGGGGGAGGAUGAACUUCAGGGGGGUUGCUUUAGUGGCUUGACCCCAUUAUCAAUGACCCAGGACUUUCUGUCCCUCUGCCCUGUCCCCCCCUUUCUGUUGAGUUCAUCCUCAAAAAGAACGAUCAUCUAUUAUUCUGUCUCUACCCUGGGAGAUCUUUCAGAAUCCUUCUCUCUCCCAUCACCCUACCCUCUAGUGCUAAAGCCAGUCACACCCUCUUCCUCUCCUGGCAAGAGACAGGAAAUGACCCCGACCAGCUUGGACUGGCUGUUGAAGAGUCACUCACAGUAUCCAUCAUCUAGGGACUGGCAGGAAAAUGGCCAAAGUAAGGAGCAUGGAAUCUAUGCUGGACAGGGAAGGAAGUAGAAGGAGCAGAGUACUGAGAGGGAGAAGGAGAAGGGCCAGCGGCCUCGGGAGCUCAAAGAAUGAGGCUAUAAUAAUGGAGAGAACAGAGGAUCCAAGCCUGUGGCCAGGCAAAUAGAAGAAUUUAGAGAAGGUUAGACCCAAGAGAAACUGGGGCCGGGCUUUGAUCAAGAGAGGUGGUAGUUAAGGUAGAAUGGAGACAAAGGUCAUUUGAA
rnacentral:lncRNA from 1 species